GUGGGGAAUUUUGGACAAUGGGGGCAACCCUGAUCCAGCAAUGCCGCGUGAGUGAAGAAGGCCUUCGGGUUGUAAAGCUCUUUUGUCAGGGAAGAAAAGGGUACGGCUAAUAUCCGUGCCUCAUGACGGUACCUGAAGAAUAAGCACCGGCUAACUACGUGCCAGCAGCCGCGGUAAUACGUAGGGUGCAAGCGUUAAUCGGAAUUACUGGGCGUAAAGCGUGCGCAGGCGGUUUUGUAAGUCUGUUGUGAAAUCCCCGGGCUUAACCUGGGAAUGGCAAUGGAGACUGCAAGGCUAGAGUUUGGCAGAGGGGGGUAGAAUUCCACGUGUAGCAGUGAAAUGCGUAGAGAUGUGGAGGAACACCGAUGGCGAAGGCAGCCCCCUGGGUCAAGACUGACGCUCAUGCACGAAAGCGUGGGGAGCAAACAGGAUUAGAAACCCCAGUAGUCC
rnacentral:rRNA from 1 species